rnacentral:rRNA from 1 species
UACGUAGGGGGCAAGCGUUGUCCGGAAUCAUUGGGCGUAAAGAGCGUGUAGGCGGCCCGGUAAGUCCGCUGUGAAAGUCCAGGGCUCAACCCUGGGAUGCCGGUGGAUACUGUCGGGCUCGAGUACGGAAGAGGCGAGUGGAAUUCCUGGUGUAGCGGUGAAAUGCGCAGAUAUCAGGAGGAACACCAAUUGCGAAGGCAGCUCGCUGGGACGUAACUGACGCUGAGACGCGAAGGCAUGGGGAGCGAACGGG